AGCAACAUCAAAAGAAAAAAGAAACUGCUCCCUUCAGGAAGUCAAAGACAGAGGCAUCAUACACUUGGAAGUAUGAAGAAUGACAACGAAAAUGCUUAUGUAAAAAUAAAUUGUUAUUCAGAUGCAACAAAAAAAAAUUUUUAGUAAAAAAAUUGGCAACAAUUUAAAACCACCUCAAAAACACACACACACACACACAUAGAUCCCUCAUAAAUUUAGUUAUUGAAACCUCUUUUGAUAAACAUUAAAAUAAAUUGCUUAUUUGUAUGACUUGCUUG
rnacentral:misc_RNA from 1 species